UGGUACACAAUGCCUCUUGGAGUAC
rnacentral:piRNA from 1 species